GCCACGGUGGUCUAGCGGUUAGAUUGCUGGCCUUGUAAUCCAGGGGUCUCGGGUUCGAUUCCCGGCGGUGCCC
rfam:Zootermopsis nevadensis contig22737, whole genome shotgun sequence.